rnacentral:rRNA from 1 species
GACGAACGCUGGCGGCGUGCCUAACACAUGCAAGUCGAGGGGAAACGAUAGAGAAAGCUUGCUUUUUCUAGGCGUCGACCGGCGCACGGGUGAGUAACGCGUAUCCAACCUGCCCAUCACUUGGGGAUAACCUUGCGAAAGUAAGACUAAUACCCAAUGAUAUCUCUAGAAGACAUCUGAAAAGAGAUUUAAAAGAUUUAUCGGUGAUGGAUGGGGAUGCGUCUGAUUAGCUUGUUGGCGGGGUAACGGCCCACCAAGGCGACGAUCAGUAGGGGUUCUGAGAGGAAGGUCCCCCACAUUGGAACUGAGACACGGUCCAAAACUCCUACGGGAGGCAGCAGUGAGGAAUAUUGGUCAAUGGACGAGAGUCUGAACCAGCCAAGUAGCGUGCAGGAUGACGGCCCUAUGGGUUGUAAACUGCUUUUAUAAGGGAAUAAAGUGGGAGUCGUGGACUCUUUUUGCAUGUACCUUAUGAAUAGGACCGGCU